CCUACGGGAGGCAGCAGUGAGGAAUAUUGGUCAAUGGACGCAAGUCUGAACCAGCCAUGCCGCGUGCAGGAUGACGGCUCUAUGAGUUGUAAACUGCUUUUGUACGAGGGUAAACCCCGAUACGUGUAUCGGGUUGAAAGUAUCGUACGAAUAAGGAUCGACUAACCCCGUGCCAGCAGCCGAGGUAAUACGGAGGAUCCGAGCGUUAACCGGAUGUAUUGGGUUUAAAGGGUGCGUAGGCGGUUUGGUAAGUUAGGGGUGAAAGGCCGGGGCUCAACCCCGAAACUGCCUCUAAUACUGUUGGACUAGAGAAUAGUUGCGGUAGGCGGAAUGUAUGGUGUAGCGGUGAAAUGCUUAGAGAUCAUACAGAACACCGAUUGCGAAGGCAGCUUACCAAACUAUAUCUGACGUUGAGGCCCGAAAGCGUGGGGAGCAAACAGGAUUAGAUACCCGGGUAGUC
rnacentral:rRNA from 1 species